rnacentral:lncRNA from 1 species
AAGACAAUGACGUAUCUGAUGGCACUGAGAUUUAGUCAUGAGUUUUAUUUGGAAAUGCUUUUGAAAGCUUUACUUGCCCUGUCUCAAUUCGCUCAUCUUACUGCACGUCUGGUUCUGAAGCAUGUAUCAAUUUGUGUGUCUUUGAUAAGUGCAAUUUUACUACAAUUGACACAGAUCGUUCUCUCACUGAUUUACAGCGUGAAGAACACCAUGCAGGGUUCUGCUCCUCCUUCCAAGCUUCCACCAUGGCCUAAGCCCAAGGCUGGUGGAAAUGUGAGAACCCAGGGCUUGGAGAAGAGCUGUCAGGUUGCCAUUCAGAUGAGCAGCUGCUUUGACAGACAGCAAAGGGGUGGAAGUAGAGGCUGAAGGGAUUGAAAGCAUAAGAAGGAAGCAACACACAUGGAUGUCUUCGUGGAUGGCGCUGCCCAUGAGUAAAGAAAUGUGGUGAUCUGCAGCAGCAGAGGGUGGCCUUGGCCAAUGACCACCAAGGAAACUAGACCUCAGUCCCACAGCAACAAGGACCUGGAUCCUCCUGCCAACCACAUGGAUGAGCUUGGAAGCAGCGUCUCCCUCAGAGCCUCCAGAUAAGAGGCCAGCCCAGCUGACACCUCAACCUGGGGCUUGUAAGACCCUAAGCAGAGAAUGCAGAUGAGUCUACCUGGACUUUCAACCUACAGAAUCAUGAGCUAAUAAAUGGAUGUCCUUCUAAGCUGCUAAAUUUGAGAUUCUUUGUUAUGUAGCAACAGAUAGUGAGUAGAACUUAGAACUUAACACUCCCCUUGGGCAAAGUAAUGAGACCCACACUUCUUUUAUGGUAUUUUGCAGGAGCUGUCACAAUAGUUGAAGUCAUAAAUGAGGGUUAAAUUAUAGAAAAGACUUGGAGUGAGGAGGGCACAAUGGCUGUUGUGGACAGGAUGGCAAUCCAUGUUGCACAUCACCGAUUGAUAUAGUUUGGCUGUGUCCCCACCCAAAUCUCCUCUUGAAUCCCCAGGUGUUGUGGGAGUGAGCUGGUGGGAGAUAAUUGAAUCAUGGGAGCAGGUUGUUUCCAUGCUGUGAAUAACUCUCAGGAGAUCUGGUGGUUUUAAAAAUGGGAGUUUCCCUGCACAAGCUCUCUUCUCUUGUCUGCUGCCAUGUAAAACAUGCCUUUCACUUUCUGCCAUGAUUGUCAGACCUCCCCAGUUCCACAGGACUGGGGAGGGAAGUCCAUUAAAACCACUUUUUCUUCCCAGUCUCAGGUGUGUCUUUAUCAGCAGCAUGAAAAUGGACUAAUAAAGUAAAUCAGUACCAGUAGAGUGUGACGCUGCUGAAAAGAUACCUGAAAGUGUGGAAGCAUCUUUGGAACUGGGUAAUUGGCAGAAGUUGGAGGGAGCACUUGGAGCUCAGAAGAAGACAGGAAGAUGUGGG